rnacentral:rRNA from 1 species
AGCCUGAACGCUGGCGGCGUGGCUAAGACAUGCAAGUCGAACGGGGCCGUAGCAAUACGGUCCAGUGGCGGACGGGUGAGUAAAGUAUCGCUAACGUACCCCUGGGUCUGGGAUAGCCGUGGGAAACCGCGGGUAAUACCAGAUGACGUGG